rnacentral:rRNA from 1 species
UACAGAGGGUGCAAGCGUUAAUCGGAAUUACUGGGCGUAAAGCGUGCGUAGACGGUUAUGUAAGUCGGGUGUGAAAGCCCCGGGCUCAACCUGGGAAUGCCAUUCGAGACUGCAUAGCUAGGGUGCGGAAGAGGGAAGCGGAAUUUCCGGUGUAGCGGUGGAAUGCGCAGAUAUCAGGAGGAACACCAAUAGCGAAGGCAGCUCGCUGGGACGGUACUGACGCUAAGGCGCGAAAGCGUGGGGAGCGAACAGG